rnacentral:rRNA from 1 species
GUGGGGAAUAUUCCGCAAUGGACGAAAGUCUGACGGAGCAACGCCGCGUGAGUGAUGAAGGUUUUCGGACUGUAAAGCUCUGUUGUUUAGGACGAAAGUGCCUGUUGCAAAUAGUUACAGGUAUUGACGGUACUGAACGAGGAAGCCACGGCUAACUACGUGCCAGCAGCCGCGGUAAUACGUAGGUGGCAAGCGUUGUCCGGAAUUAUUGGGCGUAAAGAGCAUGUAGGCGGGAAUCUAAGUCUGUUGUGAAAAUGCGGGGCUCAACCCCGUAUUGGGAUGGAAACUGGGUUUCUUGAGUGCAGGAGAGGAAAGGGGAAUUCCCAGUGUAGCGGUGAAAUGCGUAGAUAUUGGGAGGAACACCAGUGGCGAAGGCGCCUUUCUGGACUGUGUCUGACGCUGAGAUGCGAAAGCCAGGGUAGCGAACGGGAUUAGAUACCCGUGUAAUCC